AGGCGGAUGAACAGCCAGAGCUGCAAUGGUGGAUCCUCCUCCAGGGCUGCAUGGGACGACAGAUAGAUGAGGCUCUAGGACGGGCACAAAUGCUACCCGAAUGCAAACCACUCCGGAGAUCUGUAAAAGGACUGGCCCCGGACAGGAAGCACACUUUAAACUAGAGGCGGGGUAAGACUCGUGGGCCAAUCAAGGCUUCCGAACAGAACUGCCAUUCUGGCAAUGAGGCGGGGUCUUCCGGUUGCCUGCUGGAAGUUUGUUUUUGCUCUGCAGGAUUGAAGGGUUCUCCCUAUGCUGCUUUGAGCGCUGCUAUUGGGUGCCUUGAGGGGACCUCAAGUAAGCUCCAUUUUUGAAACAUGAGUCAAAGCCCCGGUGAAGAUUCUGUGACGGUUCAUUGUAUAAUUUAUGAUGAUGAAGAUUGAGUUGCAUUUUGCGGAAAAGAGAUGUUGAGAUAUCUAAGGCAUUGAGAAAUCUGUCAUGCAGACAUGCACACAGGGAGAGGGAGUACCCAAACUGAUGAGAACUUACAGGAAUUGGACCAUCUAAGCCCUUAGAAAGUGAAGUCCACUGUGUCUCAAACAAAGGAUGCAGUGACUUAUGAUGAUGUGCGUGUGAACUUCACUGAGGAAGAGUGGGAUUUGCUGGAUCCUUCCCAGAAAAGUCUCUAUGAAGAGGUGAUGCUAGAGACAUACCAGAACAUCACUGCUAUAGGCUACAAUUGGGAAGACCAUCAUAUUGAAGAACAUUGUCAAAGUUCUAGAAGACAUGAAAGGCAUGAAAGAAUUCAUAUUGGAGAGAAACCGUAUGAACGUAACCAAUGGGGUAAAGCCUUUGCAAGUGACAAUCAUCUCCAAAUACGUAAAAGAACAAAUACUGGAGAGAAACCUUAUGAAUGUAAUCAAUGUGGUAAAGCCUUUUCACAACAGAGUAGUCUCCAGUAUCAUAAAAGAACAUAUGCUGGACAGAAACCUUAUGAAUGUAAUCAGUGUGGUAAAGCCUUGUCAUGUCAAAGAAAUCUCCAAUAUCAUAAAAGAACACAUACUGGAGAGAAACCCUAUGAAUGUAAUCAGUGUGGUAAAGCCUUCACACAUUACAAUAAUCUCCGAUAUCAUAAAAGAACACAUACUGGAGAAAAACCUUAUGAAUGUAAUCAGUGUGGUAAAGCCUUUGCACGUUACAAUAAUCUCCAGUGUCAUAAAAGAACACAUACUGGAGAGAAACCUCAUGUGUGUGAUCAAUGUGGUAAAACCUUUGCAUGGCAGUAUACUCUCCAAAAACAUAAAAGAAUACAUACUGGAGAGAAACCUUAUCAAUGUAGUCAAUGUGAUAAAGCAUUUUCAGAACACAGUAGUCUUCAAUAUCAUAAAAGAA
rnacentral:lncRNA from 7 species